rnacentral:rRNA from 1 species
AUUGAACGCUGGCGGAAUGCUUUACACAUGCAAGUCGAACGGCAGCACGGACUUCGGUCUGGUGGCGAGUGGCGAACGGGUGAGUAAUGUAUCGGAACGUGCCCAGUCGUGGGGGAUAACGUAGUGAAAAUUACGCUAAUACCGCAUACGAUCUAUGGAUGAAAGCGGGGGAUCGCAAGACCUCGCGCGAUUGGAGCGGCCGAUAUCAGAUUAGGUAGUUGGUGGGGUAAAGGCCCACCAAGCAAACGAUCUGUAGCUGGUCUGAGAGGACGAGCAGCCACACUGGAACUGAGACAGAGUCCAGACUCCUACGGGAGGCAGCAGUGGGGAAUUUUGGACAAUGGGCGAAAGCCUGAUCCAGCCAUUCCGCGUGCAGGAUGAAGGCCCUCGGGUUGUAAACUGCUUUUGUACAGAACGAAAAGGUUUCUACUAAUACUAGGAGCUCAUGACGGUACUGUAAGAAUAAGCACCGGCUAACUACGUGCCAGCCGCCGCCGUAA